rnacentral:Y_RNA from 1 species
GGCUGGUCCAAGUGCAGUGGUGUUCACAACUAGUUGAUCACAACCAGUUGCAGAUUUGUUCCUUCUCCACUCCUACUGCUUUACUUGACUAGCCUAAA